rnacentral:tRNA from 1 species
ACGACUGUAGCUCAGUUGGUUAGAGCACUACCUUGACAUGGUAGGGGUCGGUGGUUCGAAUCCACUCGGUCGUACCA